rnacentral:rRNA from 1 species
CCCAGCACCGAAGCCUGUAGCCAUUUGGUUACUAGGCAAUGUGGUGUUUAGGUUGUUCCGUGGAUAUUCUGCUCCACCCUAAGUCCAUCAAUGAGUACGGUAUUAUGGACAUGGCCCAUAGAGGGUGAAAGGCCCGUGGGGGUGGAGAUUCGGCAGGACGGAAUAUCUUUGGAUAGACCUUGGAGUCGGGUUGUUUGUGAAUGCAGCCCAAAGUGGGUGGUAAACUCCAUCCAAGGCUAAAUACUUGCACGAGUCCGAUAGCGAACAAGUACCGUGAGGGAAAGUUGAAAAGUACUUUGAAGAGAGAGUAAACAGUGCGUGAAACCGCUCAGAGGUAAACGGGUGGAGUUGAACUGCAAGCUUUGGGAAUUCAACUGGUGAGUGUGGUUUUAGCUUGGUAAAUUUGGUGGACAUUGAGGUCUGCGUAGCAGCAGGUCUUCGCCUUCGGGUGGGGAUGCGCGAUGCACUUAUCAAGUGUUGUGCGCCUCGGUUGUCCUACCGGCCAACUCGCUAGUGCACUUUCUCAGAGUGUUCACCACGACCGGCGCCGCUGUCUGGCCGCUAUGGUUAAACCGGUUUCGCAUAGUCCUUGUGGCUUUGCUUAGUCGGGACGGCAGGUAGCUCGUUGACUUGCUUGUGGCUCGCUGCAAGUGUGGUUUUCGAGUUUAAUCAGCUGACCGUAGUGGUUCUGUGCAGUGUGUCGGAGACGGCGGCUUGAGGUGUGUGCAUGCGUAGUUGUUUUGCUGACUGGUUCGAGUUUGGUUAUUUUGUUGCCUGUGCAUACAGGUCUGGUAGUAGCUCGAAUUUGUUCGGCUGGCGAUUGCGUGUGUGGCACUUUACCAAGGGCCAAUAGUCUGUGGUGUAGUGGU